rnacentral:rRNA from 1 species
GUCUUUUUGAGAUAAUAUAAAGUCUAAUCUGCCCACUGAUAAAUUAUUAAAGGGCUGCAGUAUUUUGACUGUACAAAGGUAGCAUAAUCAUUUGUCUUUUAAUUGAAGACUAGUAUGAAAGAUUGGAUGAAAUAUGAACUGUCUCAUUAUAAAAUUAUAAAACUUAAUUUUUUAGUUAAAAAGCUAAAAUAAAUUUAAAAGACGAGAAGACCCUAUAGAGUUUUAUAAUUUUUUUAAUAUUAUUAUAAUAUAAAUUUUUAAAAUAAAAUUAAUUUAAUUAUUUUGUUGGGGUGAUAAAAAAAUUUAAUUAACUUUUUUUUAAAAAUUAACAUUAAUAUAUGAAAAAAUGAUCCAUUAAUAAUGAUUAAAAGAAAAAAUUACCUUAGGGAUAACAGCGUAAUUUUUUUUUUUAGGUCAAAUAAAAAAAAAAGUUUGCGUCCUCGAUGUUGGAUUAAGAUAAAAUUUAAAUGCAAAAGUUUAAAAUUUUUGAUCUGUUCGAUCAUUAAAAUCUUACA